GACGAACGCUGGCGGCGUGCUUAACACAUGCAAGUCGAACGGAAAGGCCCUGCUUUUGUGGGGUGCUCGAGUGGCGAAAGGGUGAGUAACACGUGAGUGACCUGCCCUUGACUUUGGGAUAACUUCAGGAAACUGGGGCUAAUACCGGAUAUGAGCACCUGCUGCAUGGUGUUGGUUGGAAAGUUUCGGUGGUUGGGGAUGGACUCGCGGCUUAUCAGCGUGUUGGUGGGGUAGUGGCUUACCAAGGCUUUGACGGGUAGCCGGCCUGAGAGGGUGACAGGCCACAUUGGGACUGAGAUGCGGCCCAUACUCCUACGGGAGGCAUCAGUGGGAAAUAGUGCACAAUGGGCGGAAGCCGGAUGCAGCAACGCCGCGUGCGGGAUGACGGCCUUUGGGUUGUAAACCGCUUUCGCCUGGGACGAAGCGUGAGUGACGGUAAUGGGUAAAGAAGCACCGGCUAACUACGUG
rnacentral:rRNA from 1 species